rnacentral:rRNA from 1 species
CAAUAGCGUAUAUUAAAGUUGUUGUGGUUAAAAAGCUCGUAGUUGAACCUUGGGCCUGGCCGUCCGGUCCGCCUCACCGCGUGUACUGGCUCGGCCGGGCCUUUCCCUCUGUGGAACCCCAUGCCCUUCACUGGGCGUGGCGGGGAAACAGGACUUUUACUGUGAAAAAAUUAGAGUGCUCCAGGCAGGCCUAUGCUCGAAUACAUUAGCAUGGAAUAAUAGAAUAGGACGUGUGGUUCUAUUUUGUUGGUUUCUAGGACCGCCGUAAUGAUUAAUAGGGACAGUCGGGGGCAUCAUUAUUCAAUUGUCAGAGGUGAAAUUCUUGGAUUUAUUGAAGACUAACUACUGCGAAAGCAUUUGCCAAGGAUGUUUUCAUUAA